GAAACGUGAAUAAACAGACCUUUGUCAGGAGGAUCACCACGAAUUCAGGAUGUCCGUGCUGUCACGAAGGAAAUAUGCAAAGGGGUGCCCAUCAGCAGAUAGAAGGUGAGGGCUACUAUGAGCAGCAGACAGAAGGGUGAGGAGAACGUCUGGUAGGCUGUAGACGGCAUGAAGAUGUCCUCAUAUUUAUAGAUGCUGAUCAUGUGAUCAGAGACUGGCGGAGCAUCGUUGUCAUGACGUGUGAUGGAACCUGGAGGAAAGAGAAGAGUAAGAGAAAAAGGGUAGGGAAAUCAUUUAAAGUGCAUUCGGAAAGAGCCCAGAUUUGGGAACUCAAUCGAACAUCUCUGGAAAGACCUGAAAAUAGCUGUGCAAUGACGCUCCCCAUCCAACCUGGCAGAGCUUGAGAGGAUCUGCAGAGAACAAUGGGAGAAACUCCCCAAAUACAGGUGUGCUAAGCUUGUAGCGUCAUACCCAAGAAGCCUCGAGGUUGUAAUCACUGCCAAAGGUGCUUCAACAAAGUAGUGAGUAAAGGGUCUGAAUACUUAUAUUUCAAUAUACAAUAUUUCCAGUUUAUUAUUUUGAAUACAUUUGCAAAAAUGUCUAAAAACCUGUUUUCGCUUUGUGAUUAUGGAGUAUUGUGUGUAGAUUGAGGAGGAAAAAACAUAAUUUAAUACAUUUUAGAAUAAGGCUGUAACGUAACAAAAUGUGAAAAAAGUCAAGGGGUCUGAAUACUUUCCGAAUGGACAGUACAUACUAAUGAACACACACAUCCACUCUCUGCACACACACAAUACCACACACACACACAGUCCUUGACUAACCUUGUAUAGCAGGCCCCCAGGCCAACAGGUAGAACCAGGAGAGAUGCAGAUCCACCAGUGUCUCCUCUCUGGGGACGUAGAGCGGCCGUUUGAAGCGGCAGGUCACACGGUUGUUGUCAAACACACCCUCUUCGUCCCUGGCAGGAUUCCUCUUGAUCUCCUUAGCCCACUGGCCCACGUUGUAGAAGUGAUGGAUACGAACACGCCCAUUAUCGUCAUGGACACAGCCCAUCACGUCAUCUCCUCCCUGAGGAGGGGUGGGGGUGAGGAGAACCAAUCAGCAUGAAGGAUAGGUUGACCAAUCAGCCUUGUUUUUGUGAUGUGUCUUUCAUGGCAGACUUCAUGUGUACCAGAUGUAGUAAAAGCCUGAGCUGACUCUGACCCCAAAAUGUCUGUAGAGGUGCUGUUGACUAACCAAGAGUAGAUUGUAUCAAAAGAAAGAAAGUCCCACACUCUAUACAUACAGCGCAUUCGUAAAGUAUUCAGACCCCUUGACUUUUUCCACAUUUUGUUACGUUACAGACUUAUUCUAAAAUGGAUAAAACAAAACAUUUCCUUCAUCAAUCUACACACAAUACCCCAUAAUGACAAAGUGAAAAAAGGCGUUGCUAGAUUUCUUUUGCAAAAUUAUUAAAAAUAAAAAACAGAAAUACCUUAUUUACAUAAGUAUUCAGACCCUUUGCUAUGAGACUUGAAAUUGAGCUCAGGUGCAUCCUGUUUCCAUUGAUCAUCCUUGAGAUGUUUCUACAACUUGAUUGGAGUCCACCUGUGGUAAAUUCAGGCACACACCUGUCUAUAUAAGGUCCCACAGUGGACAGGGCAUGUUAGAGCAAAGCCAUGAGGUCGACGGAAUUGUCCAUAGAGCUCCGAGACAGGAUUGUGUCAAGGCACAGAUCUGGGGAAGGGUACCAAAACAUUUCUACAGCAUUGAAGGUCCCCAAGAACACAGUGGCCUCCAUCAUUCUGAAAUGGAAGAAGUUUGGCACCACCAUGGCCGCCUGGCCAAACUGAGCAAUUGGGGGAGAAGAGCCUUGGUCAGGGAGGUGACCAAGAACCCCAUGGUCAAUCUGACAGAGCUCCAGAGUUCCUCCAGAAUUCCUCUGUGCAGCACUCCACCAAUCAAUCCUUUAUGGUAGAGUGGCCAGACGUAAGCCACUCCUUAGUAAAAGGUACAUGACAGCCCACUUGGAGUUUGACAAAUGGCACCUAAAGGACUCUCAGACCAAGAUUCUCUGGUCUGAUGAAACCAAUAUUGAACUCUUUGGCCUGAAUGCUAAGCGUCAUGUCUGGAGGAAACCUGGCACCAUCCCUAUGGUGAAGCAUGGUGGUGGCAGCAUCAUGCAGUGGGGAUGUUUUUCAUCUGCAGGGACUGGGAGACUAGUCAGGAUCGAGGGAAAGAUGAACGGAGCAAAGUACAGAGAGAUCCUUGGUGAAAACUUGCUCCAGAGCGCUCAGGACCUCAGACUUCGGUGAAGGUUCACCUUCAAACAGGACAACGAUCCUAAGCACAUAGACAAGAUAACACAGGAGUGGCUUCGGGACAAGUCUCUGAAUGUCCUUGAGUGGCCCAGCCAGAGCCCAGACUUCAACCCGAUCGAACAUCUCUGGAUAGACCUGAAAAUAGCUGUGCAGCAACACUCCCCAUCCAACCUGACAGAACUUGAGAGGAUUUGUAGAGAAGAAUGGGAGAAACUCCCCAAAUACAGAUGUGCCAAGCUUGUAGUGUCAUACCCGAUAAGACUCGAGGCUGUAAUCGCUGCCAAAGGUGCUUCAACAAAGUACUGAGUAAAGGGUCUGAAUACUUAUGUAAAUGUUAUAUUUCAGUUUAUUUUAUUUUAUAAAUAUGCAACAACAAAAAAUGUGCUUUGUCAUUAUGGGGUAUUGUAUGUAGAUUGAGGAAGGAAAAAAUGAUUUAAUCAAUUUUAGAAUAAGGCUGUAACGUAAUAAAAUGUGGAAAAAGUCAA